rnacentral:rRNA from 1 species
UACGUAGGGUGCAAGCGUUAAUCGGAAUUACUGGGCGUAAAGCGUGCGCAGGCGGUUCUUUAAGACAGAUGUGAAAGCCCCGGGCUCAACCUGGGAACUGCAUUUGAGACUGUAUAGCUGGAGUACGGUAGAGGGGGGUGGAAUUCCGCGUGUAGCAGUGAAAUGCGUAGAUAUGCGGAGGAACACCGAUGGCGAAGGCAAUCCCCUGGACCUGUACUGACGCUCAUGCACGAAAGCGUGGGGAGCAAACAGG